ensembl:lncRNA
GAACUGCUUUUCUAUUUGUUAACCUGGCAGGUCUGCAAGUGUUAGGCCUGUAAGAAACCAAAAGGCUCUGUAUGGUUCUCAUUAUAAUGGAGCCCUGUUCAACUAGCCACGAUAACUCUUAGGUAACUAAGUUGCUUUCUUUUAAUCAUUAAUAUUUUUAUAUUGUCAAGAGCAGCCUGGCUCUUACUGAGAUAAACUUGUUCCUUGUGUAGCUUGCAUGUCUCAUCCACCAGCAAAAGGAAGCAACCUUCUCAUUGAGCCCCUUUCUAUCUCCCACAUUCAAGACCUCAAGAGGAGCUCAGUACCAUUUUUUUCAUCUACGUCAGCAACUGUUCCCAUUACCUGGUGAAUGCCUCUGUGGGCCUAGGAGGAGAUGGAUACUGUAUGAGAGGUUGCUGUUUCGGAUGAGCUGGCAUAAGUAGGAAAACAACUUCCUUCAGUGUAUAUUUUUUUAGUACAGAAGGAAUGAUGGAGCACAAAAGCUGUUUCUUGCUGAUCAGUAAAUUAAAUAUACAAAUAAAUCAUCACCUUUAACACCUAUAUAUACCAAGAUGAGCUGUGAGCCUCCAGAUGUUCUUAAAAUCGCUUGCGCCGACCUCAUGAAGCACAGGAAUGAUGAGUGACCACUUCAUAGGAAUGGAAACAGCAAAACCAAACCGAAACAGAAAAAAAGCAGUGAUGGACCUGAUGCCAAAGUGGUACCAUUUCCUCCAGAGUAAAUGGGGAGCAAUCACCUUACCUUCGUCGUCAUUCACCUGCCAUUAAACCAGGCUCUCAUUCAUCGGCGUGAUGAUCGGAGCCGGAGCCUGCGAAUAAUCAGAGUAACACAGUGCAGUAUUUAGCAAAGCAGCAGCUGAAACACAGCCCCUCAUCCCUGUGUGUACCCCAACAGCAGCCUGCAGGAAAGGCUGCUGUUGUUUCUCUCUCACCCUUUCUCCUCUCCUGCUUAUAUAGAAACUGAAGGAGGGGGAGAGUUUUUCUUUAACUAGAAGAGAAACUUGGGAGUCAAGUCAGCAUAAUGGGAGGUUUAGGAUUUGGUCCUGCUGGAGAGGUCAGAUGUUGAGCUGGAUCUCCACGAGAUAGGUGGAUGAGGCUGCUGGAAGGGUAUUCCUUUCAAGGAGGCAGGUGGGGAUCCUGUCUUGGAAAAAGCCAGUGUGAGGACAGGGCUGGCGUAUAAGCCACGGGUGGCAGGGAGAGCUCCAGCAGGGACUUUCCAGCUCCUUUUCUGUAAUGAGAGCAGGUCUAACACAACCAAAAAGAGAUUUUCUUUCAAAGAGGCAGUGGAUAUUAAGAGUUUAAGUGGUGUGAGAAGACCAAAUCCAUGGAAAAUAAGUCUUUUAAGGUUUAGGGAAAAUGCUGUAGUCAAUGAAAAAGCCUGAGCAGGCACAUCCAAGGGAGCACAUGGACACUUGUGCCAGUGUCAGGAGCUGCAACAAAGAGCUGCUGUGCUCCUGCCUUCCUAAGGCUGCUGUCAAAGACAGAGCAACGAACUACAGCACACCCAUGGCCUGAGCACUACAGCAUGGGUGUGGGAUUGGGGUGUUACCUCCUGCCUCUGCCCACUGUGAGCCCUCACCUUGCACUGGGUAAUCCCACAAGCUCGGGUCCCCACAGGCAGUGCCAAGUUGGAAAAUCCCACAGGAUGCACAGAAUGUGAAGCCUCACGGGCUGCUUGGCUGUUUGCAGGCACAACAUCAUACAUUUGCACAUCUCACGUUGCCAAAGAACUGCUCACAGACCUGGAAAACCCUCAGAGAUAGGCAGCGAGUUGAGACUUGACUGCCUGCAUCCUUUCCCACAUGCAACGUUAGGAAGCUCACCAUUGUCACCCAACAUGACAAAGUGGAUGAUGGCUGGCACAUGCCUGACACGCUGGGAUCAUCCCACUUUUAUCAUUAUUGGCAUAAAAAGUUGAACUUUCAAAAAGAUUCAGCAGCGUUUAAAAAGAAUAAAAAGAAGAAGAAAAAAAAAAAGUCUUACCUU